rnacentral:lncRNA from 1 species
CAUUGUGGUCGCGGGGCAGAAUGUUGCUAAAUAACAACGUCAUCCAUAUCCAUGUAAGAGUGGUCAUGUUGGUGCGCAUGAUCCGCACUCGUCUUUUUGCAGCGGCACGGGUGAAAUUGCCCCGGUAUGCAUAGUAGAUGCGUGAUAGCCUCCCUCUCUGGAUGUGCUCGCACAGUUGGUCGCCCUCUAAUAUCAGGGGGUGGCCCAGGAACU